CUAUAGCUGCCUUUCCGACCACCUCGGAUGCUUACCUUGAAGACAGAGGCGGGAGUUUCGUGUCCAUUUUUUGGCUAAUUUUCCUUGUCAACUACUGGACUUUUCCAAGCGGACGUACUCUCUUCGCUUUUCCAAAAGCUUUUGGCUAUAUUGGAACCCGGAACCAGCAUCAACUCCUGGACUUCUCUAAAGGUUUUAUUCACAGCUCUUUGCUUCACCAAGACUGCUGCUGUCCUUGAUCUUACCACCUACCCGCAUAACCACAAAGACCGCUCAAGUCCAGGAACGCUCUCUGCGGUCAUCCCGAGGUCGUUCAGGAAGCACAAGCAGCCAUGGCACGAUGAGGAAACGCAGACAGAUGCUGUGGGUGGUUUCUGCCUGUCUGGCUCUGCUCCAAAUAGCUGCACUUCCUCUUCGAUGAAACCGCUGCCUUCAGCUGCAGCUUAUACUGGGAAAGCAAAGGUUAUUGGCUACAACGUUCAGCGGAUGAGGAGGGAUCAACUCAGAGAGAGAGAGAGAGAGAGAGAGAGAGAGAAUAUACCUUGAGGUGAGAAAUUAAUUGAGCCUGUAGAUUUUGGUUGCAGUGAGAUACCUCAGCUGAUAGGCCGCAUUCUCGCUCCCUGACUGUGUAUCUUCUUUCUCAAAUACCCUAAGAACAUUUUAGCACUAGUUUUGUGGAGCACACUGAAUAGAGAGGCAUUAGGCCUGAGAAGUCAGACUUUAUAUAUGUGCCUGUCUGCUGCAGUCAGGCCUGUUUUCCCUCAGUAGAGCUGAUGACUCUAUAACCACAUCCAUGAGGCAAAGCGAUGUCAAAAAACCAGGAAAUCACAAGUAGCACUUAAAUUAUCCUGUUUCAUUUUUUUGAACUGAGGGAAAUAAAAAUCUUCAU